UCUGGUAAUUAUGCUUUUGAUGGAUACACCCGUUCCCAUACCGAACACGAAGGUUAAGCAUCAAGAGGCCGAUAGUACUGCACGGGAAGCUGUGUGGAGGUAGGUUGUUGCCAGGU
rnacentral:rRNA from 1 species